UCAACUCCCUGUCUUAAGCCCGACGACCACACCAGGACGGUGCUGUGACAUUCCUUGGUCUACAGUGGUUGGCUGUUUGCAUUCCGGUUCGCUUCCAUGUGGAUAUUUUAUGUGCUCCGGGUUUUUGUAACUCCAAAAAAACAACAGCUUUAUCAUGCAGCUCUUAAAUUGUGACUGCCCAAACUUGGAUAUUUCAGCACACUUCAAACUCGAGAAAACACCUUGCGGAUGCCCUGGAUGCCUCCUUAGUGAGGUGUUCCAGAUAUGUCUCACUGGGAGGAGGAUCCAGGGAUGAACCAGGACAUGCUGGAGGGGCUAUGUCUUCUGGCUGACCUGGGAAGAGCUGGGCGACGUGCCCAGAGAGAGGGAAGUCUGGGCUUUCCUGCUUGAACUUGUGUCCCCGUAAAUGCCAUGAUUCUUUGUAGAGACGGUAUAUAUUAAACGGGUAAUAUCAAAAUAUUUGUUAAAAGCAUUUCUGGUUUAUAAUGAAACAAACCCUACAAAAUAUAGUAAGUACUUUCAAUCCAUGAACUUUCUCAA